rnacentral:sRNA from 1 species
AUGUACGAGGGGUACAUGCCGAUUCCGAGCAGCGGCCGCGCCGCCUGGCGGCUGCGCAGUAGUUUUGUUAGCC